GUUGAUGACAGCUCAGAAGUCCCUGAUGGUGCACCCUGGUGGGUUCGUGGAGCGUCUGUACGCUCUCCUGUACUCCUUCCUGCCCACUGCUGCCAACAUGGAGCCAGAGGCUGACAGAUACCUGCUGCUGCUCAAUGAUUCUUGUGACACUUUGCCACCCAACAGGGAUCUAGACACCAAUGCACUACAUUACUUUGCACAGA